CCCUUAGAUGUUCUGGGCCGCACGCGCGCUACACUGAUGAACGCAACGAGACCACCUGUACCGAAAGGCAUGGGUAAACUUGUGAAAGUUCAUCGUGAUGGGGAUAGAUUAUUGCAAUUAUUAAUCUUCAACGAGGAAUUCCUAGUAAGCGCGAGUCAUCAGCUCGCGUUGAUUACGUCCCUGCCCUUUGUGCACACCGCCCGUCGCUCCUACCGAUUGAAUGGUCCGGUGAAAUCUUCGGAUUGCUGGAUAGGACUUCAUUGACCUAUCUGCGAGAAGUUGCUUGAACCUUAUCAUUUAGAGGAAGGAGAANUCGUAACA
rnacentral:rRNA from 1 species